AAAGUUUACGGCAGGAACUAUUGUCUGUACCAAAAGAAACGUUGGGGGAAGUCCAACAAUUCUUGUGACAGCACGUAUUCUCUGUACCAAAAGAAACUUUGGGGGAAUCCCAACAACGUUUACAAAAAAACAAUCUCCUGUACACAAAGAAACAUUAGGGGAAGCUCAAGAACGUUUAUUGCAGGAACAACACUCUCAUGUUUUGAAGUCUUUG
rnacentral:lncRNA from 1 species